rnacentral:rRNA from 2 species
CCAAUAGCGUAUAUUAAAGUUGCUGCAGUUAAAAAGCUCGUAGUUGAAUUUCGGGACCAAUAUGUCGGUCGUGCCUCGGUACGUACUGGCAUCGUUGGUUUCUCCCUUCUGACGAACCAUGAUGUCAUUCAUUUGGUGUCGUGGGGAAUCAGGACUGUUACUUUGAAAAAAUUAGAGUGUUUAAAGCAGGCUCACGCUUG